rnacentral:rRNA from 1 species
GAUGAACGCUGGCGGCGUGCCUAAUACAUGCAAGUCGAACGGAGUAUAUUAGCAAUAGUGUACUUAGUGGCGAACGGGUGAGUAACGCGUUGGUGACCUGCCCCAAAGCGGGGGACAACAGCUCGAAAGAGCUGCUAAUACCCCAUGCAGUUACGAGGGAUUAGAAGCUGGUAACUAAAGGAGCAAUCCACUUUGGGAGGGGCCUGCGUCCCAUCAGCUAGUUGGUAGGGUAAAGGCCUACCAAGGCGUAGACGGGUAGGGGACCUGAGAGGGUGGCCCCCCACAAUGGAACUGAAACACGGUCCAUACACCUACGGGUGGCAGCAGUAGGGAAUAUUGCACCAUGGGCGAAAGCCUGAUGCAGCAACGCCGCGUGAGUGAAGAAGGCCUUCGGGUCGUAAAGCACUUUUUGAGAGGAUGAGGAAGGACGGUACGUCUCAGAAUAAGUCUCGGCUAACUACGUAGG